rnacentral:rRNA from 1 species
GACGAACGCUGGCGGCGUGCUUAACACAUGCAAGUCGAACGGAAAGGCCCUGCUUUUGUGGGGUGCUCGAGUGGCGAACGGGUGAGUAACACGUGAGUAACCUGCCCUUGACUUUGGGAUAACUUCAGGAAGCUGGGGCUAAUACCGGAUAGGAGCUCCUGCUGCAUGGUGGGGGUUGGAAAGUUUCGGCGGUUGGGGAUGGACUCGCGGCUUAUCAGCUUGUUGGUGGGGUAGUGGCUUACCAAGGCUUUGACGGGUAGCCGGCCUGAGAGGGUGAAAGGCCACAAUGGGACUGAGAUACGGCCCAGACUCCUACGGGAGGCAGCAGGGGGGAAUAUUGCACAAUGGGCGGAAGCCUGAUGCAGCAACGCCGCGUGCGGGAUGACGGCCUUCGGGUUGUGAACCGCUUUCGCCUGUGACGAAGCGGGAGUGACGGUAAUGGGUAAAGAAGCACCGGCUAACUACGUG